rnacentral:rRNA from 1 species
CGGGGUGAGUAACGCGUGGGUAACCUGCCUCAUACAGGGGGAUAACAGUUAGAAAUGGCUGCUAAUACCGCAUAAGACCACAGUACUGCAUGGUACAGUGGUAAAAACUCCGGUGGUAUGAGAUGGACCCGCGUCUGAUUAGGUAGUUGGUGAGGUAACGGCCCACCAAGCCGACGAUCAGUAGCUGACCUGAGAGGGUGACCGGCCACAUUGGGACUGAGACACGGCCCAG